rnacentral:snoRNA from 1 species
AUGACAUGAUGGGUACAUUUUCUGAUCAGAUCCUUUAAUCUUUCCCAUGACUCAUGGAACUGCUCACCAUCUUGUUGCGAAAAGCUUGUGAGAGCUCAUCUUAUCUG